UUAUUAUAUAUUGUACUUCACGAGUCCAGAAUCUUCUCCUACCAUCAUACCAUGUGCACUUUGCCUUCCCUUUUUUCUGGGUCCCAAAACAAGUUCACCCCUAGCUGCCAAAUGUUCACGGCCUUGUUGAAACAUGUACAACUAAGAUUUCAGGUCUCAUUAGCUUUGCUUUUGUAGAAGCACUUCUAUUAAAAGUGCUUUCUGAUUUAUAACCUAGAAGCAUUCUCUACCAUACUGUGUUACACUUGCUUUUAGUUGUUUGUAGUUAUUUGAAAACGCCUUUUGCCGGUUUAAAAACAGUCCAAAUCCCCUCUCAAUUUUUCGAUGAAAAGAUGGUAGACAGAUCCUUCUAGUGCUUGAAAAAGGUCAUUAAAAAAAAGGAUAAAUCAUAGAACUUCAACAUAGACACCAAAUUUUCAAGUCAUAAUCCCAUUUCUGAGUAUAAAAUUUAUAAAAAUCACAAACCCAAAAAGCAAAAGAAAAAACAAAAAUUGAAACACACCCUUCUCUCUUCGCAAGAAAAGUAAAGUUCUUUGGCGUCCUCCAACCUCAACUAUACAGCUGCACAUACUUCUUCUUCUUCAAUGGAUCGUCUGCUACCCUCUGCCUCUGUACUCACACUUCUCAUCCUCUCUUUCUUCUCAGAAGUGAACUCUGCCUCUUUCAAGCUAGUGAACAAGUGUCGGUACGAAGUAUGGCCUGGCGUGCUUUCCGGCGCGAACACGGCUCCACUCUCCCCAACCGGCUUCGCGCUCAAGCCCGGCAAGUCCCGGACCCUAUCCGUGCCCAAAGCCUGGUCGGGUCGGAUCUGGGCGCGGACCCUCUGCACCGAGUACUCACCCACCAACUUCUCCUGCGUCACAGGCGACUGUGGCUCCGGAAAAAUCGAGUGUGCCGGCAGCGGCGCGAAGCCGCCAGCUACUUUAGCCGAGUUCACUCUCAACGGCGCCGACGGCUUGGAUUUUUAUGACGUCAGCCUGGUGGACGGAUACAACCUGCCGAUGCUUGUGGUGCCACGUGGAGGUACAAGAGGGGGAUGCAGCGCCACGGGGUGUCUUGUGGACUUGAACGGCAAGUGUCCGAGGGCGUUGAGGGUCGCGCGCGAGGGUGGAGUGGGAAGAGUGGCGUGUAGGAGCGCGUGCGAAGCGUUUGGGGAUCCGCAGUUUUGUUGUAGUGAGGCGUACGCUACGCCCGACACGUGUCAGCCCUCUGUGUUCUCGCUGUUUUUUAAGCAUGCUUGCCCACGCGCGUAUAGCUACGCGUAUGAUGACAAGACUAGUACUUACACAUGCGCCUCUGCGGACUACAUUAUAAUCUUCUGCCCUUUGCCUUAUACAAGGUACAAUCAUGUUACACAUAUAUUGUGAUGUCUUAUUUAGUUUUUCUGGUACAAAAUUUUACAUGGGAUAAUAUAAUAGGUUGUUAAUUAAUCAUGCUAUCACAUUAUAACAUAACGUGUCAAACUGUUUGUCAAAUACGAUUAUAAUUUAUACGAUUUGAAUCGUGCAAGAAAUGGACACGUUGAAUUUUUUUGUUAGGAAUUAUUUGAGCUAUGAAUGUGAUGGCCAUGUUGUAGGUGUGGGGUACAACUUACAAGCCCCUAAUUUGUGGCUUUCCACGAUUGCUUACAGCUAAUGGCGACGAUUUUCAGCUGCCUAGAAAAGUUUGCUAUUUUAGUGGCACAAAGAAAACAUAACGUGAGAUAAAAGACAAAGAACAAGUUGAAUUUUCAAGUGGGGUUGUUUCUGAAUGACUAAACUAAUUAGUUCAUUCAAGGUUCAGCUAUAAGUCUUAUGAUCACAAUGUGGUCAAUAUAUAGCAGAAACUGUGAUAUGGUUAGACUUUGGGAGUUGAAGGUUGACAUCUCUGCACAUCAUACAGUGCAUCAUUUUGUUUGUUAGUAUCUAUCUGGUUUGUCACUGGUUGAUAUAAUUUAAAUUGGCUUUGGGACAUCUGUGGUUAAAGAUAAUCAUAUUGUAUGCAUUUAUAUAUUAACAAUAUAUACGUAUUUGUCCCGGCUCUUGUUUACCAGUGAUUUGGGAAAGUUGCAUUAGUUGUUCAUGAGGAAGAUGUCAAGACCUAUCCCCCUUGAAAACCAGAAUUGUUGAACCUGUACAACAAUUCAACUGCAUCACUUGUUGUCUGUGAUUUAAUGCUGUCUCAUAUUCAAAUUCACUUUGUCGCAUUAUUACCUCAGGAUCAUGAACAGACCAAAUGUUUUUCUCUUCUCGUGAAGGCAUGUUUGCUCUGUUUUUUGUGGGAAUAAUCUGGAAGUCUAAAGGUGCUGGGAAUACGAAAAGAUGGGGCGGUGCUACCGCUGGUUAACAAGACCAUGAUGUACUUUUAAGGAGCCAUAGUGCUAGCAGUGUUUCCUCAGCUAUGAUUCGGAUGCCUCUAGUGCAGCAGUACGUUCUGUUUUCCAGUUUCGGUCACUUCUAGCAC